CAUGUCAGUCUCCUAGCACCCGCUUUGAGAUCUCAAAUAAACUUUGUUUGCUUCUCCCCCUGGUGUGUUUAUUGGCGCGAAGCACACUGGGCAACGAACCCCGCUGUUGCUGUCCUCAGGCACUCUGUGCCGGCAACAGUCUUGGUGCCCAACGUGGGCUCGAGGCUGAAAUUUAGCCUUGCCCGGACCCCUCUCGGAGGUCGACGGAUUACGGCGACGACCGACGCCCAGCGCACACUGGUGACUUUACCGGGGGCCUCGGCGGAGACGUGGUUUGGUCGACCCCGGAGGGCACAACGGUGCAACACGCUCGAGCAGUGGAGAAGCAGCUGCGGACGACGGUGGGGAACCGGUCCUGUGGAUAAGGUAUACCAAAGAUUUGCAGCCUCUCCCGCUGGAUGCCCCGAUCCACUCCUUGCAGCCAGGUGACUCCGUACUUGUUCGGACCUGGAAGGACGAGCCUCUCCAAGAGAAGUGGAAGGGACCCCACACCGUCCUGCUGGUCUCCCACACAGCAGCAAAGGUCGAAGGACACAAAAACUGGAUCCAUCACUCUCGUGUAAAAGCAGUGCCCGCUCCUGAAUGGUGGACCGUCCAGCCUGCAUAAAAGACUGCCAGCGACGACCUGGGACUUAAACUGUUAUUCAAAAGACAAUAAGGUCUGUGGGGAAUGCCCUCUAGCCUCUUUGGACAGCCGCUGCACCCUCCCCGCGAGAACUCUGAGCGUUGGUUGUGUUUAUUUUCACAGGGCCGGCCUAACCUGGUGGCCUGGUCCCUUUUGCUUUUAGUCUGCCUGCUAUUGGUAAUUGUUAUUUUGUGGGUAUUUGGGGAAUUGUAAUUGUUAGGCCUUAGGGUCACCUGCCCAGCAUGAGUCCAGGUCCAGGGUCUGCCACAGUGGUGCUCUUUGCCAUAGGGACACUCCUUUCGUUACCUCCCGUUUCCCCCCGACCACAUGCGGAUGGAAAGGAAUCCCUACUAACUUGGAAACAAACACAUAUGUGUCCUUGAAGGUUUGCUUUGCCCAAGAGUUUAAGCUCUCUAACUGCUGGGUAUGCUCCCAAGUCCCACACCACACAGCAGGAUUACCCUGGAGAGCAGUUUCCCAAAAUUGGUCAGAUAUCUGUUGGGGAUGGUUCAGUAGGGGAAGAAAUACCUUGGGUACCCGCUUGUCGCAAAACUGUACCAUUGAAUCCCAGUAUGCAUUAAGGGACGACCCCUGGAAGCCGCAGACCAACUCAACGCAGAUCCCUUCCCAUAUUAGGCUGCGGUCAGUGGCCCCCGGGUUGGUGUGCUAUAGACAGUUCAAGUCCAGCAAUCACACCUCGUCCGCUGGGAAUAGCACCUGUCAGUAUUAUUUAUCCCCUGACAGUAGCGCCUCCAUCCCUGUCUAUGUUAAUGGCAGAUCCAACUCUACUGCCCGGUUCGCAACGUUUAAUGACAAAAAAACAAACAGGUGGCGCAGCGGUUAUAAUGGCUUGGUAGGAAAUGGCCACUCCUUUUACAUUUGCGGAAUCUCUGCCUAUAAGUGGCUACCGCAUCGGUGGUAUGGAAGCUGCUAUAAAAUAAUAAAUUAAUGGAGAUAUCCCAUCUCCUAGAACUGGAAGGGACCUUGAAAGGUCAUGGAGUCCAGCCCCCUGCCUUCACUAGCAGGACCAGGUACUGAUUUUGCCUCAGAUCCCCAAGUGGCCCCCUCAAGGAUUGAACUCACAACCCUGGGUUUAGCAGGCCAGUGCUCAAACCACUGAGCUAUCCCUCCCCCUUCUCUAUGAUAUCUUGCCCCUCCCCUUCGUGUCCUCCCUAAACUGCCCCCUGGCCGCCCCAGACAGCGUAGCUCUUUGUAUGCCACCCCAGAGCCCAUUACAAAAGGAGACAGGUUGGGUAUGAUUCUCCUCCCAUCCUAUGGGGUGGGACGGCUAACCCAAUUUUAUCGUAGGCUCUCUGUGUUUCUCACCAAGUUCGCCAAUGAAACCUUGGCCAUAAAAAAAAGCCUUAACUCAGAACUUUACCAGCUCCGGUUGCUGUCCCUGCAAAACAGACAGGCCUUAGAUUAUGUUUUAGCUUCCCAAGGCGGGGUGUGUGCCCUUAUUGGAAGUGAAUAUUGUACUUAUGUCCCGGAAAAAUCACAGGACAUUAAUAAGCACGUCCUGUCAGCCGAACAGGCUUUUGAGCAGUGAAAGGCCCAGGAAAGGGAACCCACAGGUUUCAAUUCCCUUUAAAGUUGGUUGCCCGACCUGGAAGGACUGGGGGGUGGCCUUGUGCGUCUCCUCCUCGCAGGUGUGGUACUGUGCCUGGUCACCCUCCUCCUAAUUGCUUGUUUUAAAAUGCUCCUCCGUAAGCUUUGUGCCCCCUGUUCCCCAAAAAUCCCGGCAUACCCUCUCAUUGAAAACCCCAGCUUCAUGGCACUCAAUCGUAUCUUGUCCACAGAAUAUGAGAAAACUCAGCCAAAAGCUUGUUGAGUAUUCUCAAAGGAGGGAGUUGUUGACGUCACUAGGCCUCACCCUAGGUAACUCGGAAGGGUAGAUGACCACAAGUGUCAAUGAAGCCUUCCUGCACUAGGCCUAAGUAAACCAAACUCUCUCCUUCCAUGUUCAAAUAAACUUUGUUUGCUUCUC